AGAGUUUGAUCCUGGCUCAGAUUGAACGCUGGCGGCAUGCCUAACACAUGCAAGUCGAACGGCAGCAUUUCUUGGGUAACCAAGAAGAUGGCGAGUGGCGGACGGGUGAGUAAUACGUAGGAAUCUGCCCUAAGGCGGGGGACAACCCGGGGAAACUCGGGCUAAUACCGCAUACGCUCUACGGAGGAAAGGAAAUCGAAAGAUUUUCACCUUAGGAUGAGCCUACGUCAGAUUAGCUAGUUGGUAGGGUAAAGGCCUACCAAGGCGAUGAUCUGUAGCUGUUCCGAGAGGAAGGACAGCCACACUGGGACUGAGACACGGCCCAGACUCCUACGGGAGGCAGCAGUGGGGAAUCUUGGACAAUGGGGGAAACCCUGAUCCAGCAAUGCCGCGUGUGUGAAGAAGGCCUGCGGGUUGUAAAGCACUUUCAGUGGUGAAGAGGACCCCUUCGGGGGUCGGACGUUAACCAAAGAAGAAGCACCGGCUAACUCUGUGCCAGCAGCCGCGGUAAUACAGAGGGUGCGAGCGUUAAUCGGAAUUAUUGGGCGUAAAGGGCGCGUAGGUGGCUCUAUAAGUUAAGUGUGAAAUCCCAUGGCUUAACCAUGGAAUUGCACUUGAUACUGUAGAGCUAGAGUAUGGUAGAGGGAAGUGGAAUUUCCGGAGUAGCGGUGAAAUGCGUAGAUACCGGAAGGAACACCAGUGGCGAAGGCGGCUUCCUGGACCAAUACUGACACUGAGGCGCGACAGCGUGGGGAGCAAACAGGAUUAGAUACCCUGGUAGUCCACGCCGUAAACGAUGAAAACUAGCUGUUGGGUGUAUUUAUACACUUAGUAGCGAAGCUAACGCGAUAAGUUUUCCGCCUGGGGAGUACGGCCGCAGGUUAAAACUCAAAGGAUUGACGCGC
rnacentral:rRNA from 1 species